rnacentral:rRNA from 1 species
CGGCGCGUCAACAUCGGUCGCCAGUCGUCCUACCCGUUCCCAUCCCGAACACGGCAGUCAAGCCCUCCAGAGCCGAUGGUACUGCACGCCCUGCGUGUGGGAGAGUAGGUCGCUGC